AGAGACCUGAUAACACAAGGCUGGGGGAAGCUAGGGAGGGAGGGAGGUAGAGGGGGAGGCAGAGACCUGAUAACACAAGACUGGGGGAAGCUAGGGAGGGAGGGAGGUAGAGGAGGAGGCAGAGACCUGAUAACACAAGGCUGGGGGAAGCUAGGGAGGGAGGGAGGUAGAGGAGGAGGCAGAGACCUGAUAACACAAGGCUGGGAUGAGCUAGGGAGGGAGGGAGGUAGAGGAGGAGGCAGAGACCUGAUAACACAAGGCUGGGGGAAGAUAGGGAGGGAGGGAGGUAGAGGAGGAGGCAGAGACCUGAUAACACAAGACUGGGGGAAGCUAGGGAGGGAGGGAGGUAGAGGGGGAGACAGAGACCUGAUAACACAAGACUGG
rnacentral:lncRNA from 1 species